CUGUUUUAUGAACUCAUAAAACAGGCCUGGACAGAAAUGAUGGUACCCCUGAAAAUAAUGUGACCAAAAGGACAAAUGAAACCUUUUGUGUCACAGGUGUCUACAAUCUUAUAAUCAGUCAGUGGGCCUGUAUAUAGGGCUACAUACACAUACUCACAGUGCUGUUUGGUUACAUGGUGUGGAGCACUCUCAACAUGGACCAGAGGAAGAGAAGAAAAGAGUUGUCUCAGGAGAUUAGAAAGAAAAUUAUAGACAAGUAUGUUAAAGGUAAAGGUUAUAAGACCAUCUCCAUGCAGCUUGAUGUUCCUGUGACUACAGCUGCACAUAUUCAGAAAUUUAGGAUCCAUGGGAYUGUAGCCAACCUCCCUGGUCGUGGCCGCAGGAGGAAAUUGAAGACAAAUCAAAGAGAAGGAUAACAAGAAUGGUUACAAAAGAGCCCAGAAAAUCUUCUAAAGAGAUUGAAGGUGAACUUCAAGCUCAAGGAACAUCAGUGUCAGAUCACACCAUCCGUCAUUGUUUGAGCCAAACUUGACUUAAUGGGAAGACGACCAGGGAGGACACCAAAUCAU